rnacentral:lncRNA from 1 species
CGCCUUCAGGGAGAGGAGGGAGAAGAGCGAGAGGAAACAUAAUCAAAUGCAAAGCUCAGAUGUGCAGGGUUUAACCGGGUUUCCUCUGACUUAUAAUCAGUGAACUUUCACUCCAAGAGCCGCAUUAGGCCAGGGAUGGAGAGGCAUCUUGAAGUGUGUUCAGACUCAGUGUGCAAACUCAACUGACAGAGACUUGCAAAGCUCAUGAGGGUGUGCGUGUGUGCGAUGCCCCCCACGCCGGGGGGAGGAGAGCGGAUCUAGCAGACCUGCGCCUUUCAUCUGCUUAGGAGGGGGAUCAGAACCCUCACGCCCUUUUCAUGUCCGCGGGAGGGAGCUUAGGCGGUCUUUCCGUUGGGGCUGGACAGCAGUCCCUGACCAGUCAAAUACUUGUAGCGAAGCCGAAACGCGCUCUUAUUGAAUAAGAGAGAAAACACGGUAAAAUGCAAAGCACAAAAGCAAGGAAGAUCGGCACUGUCAGAAGUAGUGGCCGAGCAUAAGGGUGCAUUUCCAGUGCGGAUUAAGGCCAGGGAUUAGGGCACGGAAAUCCUUGGUACGAGCUUACCACAUAGUUUUGUUCCAUAAGGGAACCAAAGGUUGGAAAAGCGAGGUAGGUUUGCCAACAACUUAGCCGUUUGAGCAAGUAUCGAUGGAGGACAGAGGGUUAAUCUCUGGCCGUAAUCCGCACUGGAAAUGUACCCUAAAACUACUACCAAAGGUCACAUAACGCAGGAGCGACAUCCGAAAAUGGCAACGUGAAGCGGCAAGCAAAGAAAACAAAUAAGGUCAAGACAUCAUAACAAUUCAUAAAACGUUGUACAUGAGAACUGCGGGUAGAGAAGUGUACGGAGUUAAACCUUCAUAACGGGAAGUACAUCUGCAGCAUCAAUGAGCAAAGCGUUCACAGGGAGACGAGGGAGGGAAUUGAGAGGAGGGAGAGGAGAGAAAGGAAUGCGAGGAGGGAGGAGAGCGUGAGAGUUUGAACGGAGAGGAUUCAGAAGAGGGAGAGGAGGGACAGAAGGGAGAGAAGGCACGAAAUGUAGUAGCUGGCCGCUGAAAAGGCCUCUCGAGAUGCUGGUGGACGCGCUUAGCGCGUAUCUGUGGACGUUAUGUGUGCCGUACUAUGUACCAGGAAAGGAGAGAGAGGAGGGAGAGGAGACGCGUUCAGGGAAAGGAGAGAGCGAAAAAAGAGGAGGGAAAGGAGGGAGAAAAGAAAGGGGAGGGAGAGGAAAGGGAAGAGGGACAUGAGGGCAAAAGAGCACGUUAAUGUUACUUGUAUUGCCGUGUUUGUCUUUUCCGACAACAAAGCUCAGGAUCUUCCCAACGCAUCCCAG